rnacentral:lncRNA from 1 species
GUUAAAAUCUAAAAGAAAAAAGAAAAAAAAGUCCAACAUUCAGAAUCCCCAAGAUGCAUACGUAAAUCCUAAUAGAAAAUGCUCAGUUCAAGAAGUUCCAUUGAGGUGAAGCAAUGAUGCAAGGCUUUUGGCAACCGUUCCCCAGCUCCCAGCCACACAUCGCUCCACUUACCUUGAGUGACAGCCUCCAAAGAAAAGUUUCCACCGCGCCAGAGUCUUGACCCUGAGUGGCAUCGGCAGGGUCUCCUGCGGCAGACCAGGGGUGUUGCGGGCUGCGCUGGGUGGGGGACCGCGCGCUGCACGUGCAGUGCCGCCCGGACGGCGGCGAAAGGACAGCGGUGCACCCCGCCCGAGGCCCCAGCGAUCCAUCAGGGCGGCUGUACGCGGGAAGACGCUUCAUCUCAUCCCUAGAUGGCAGCAGGAUUCUGAAGCUGGCGCAGCCCUGGGCAGCCCUUUCUGGUCUAUUUUCCUGAACAGAUUGCCAGGGGAUACGGCGGCUAAACAGCCAGGCGCCUCCCCGGAGCGCAGCUCAGACAGAAGAGCAAGCCGGACAGACGCCGCUGGCGAGGCUUCGGGGGUCAGAUCCUGCAGCUUGGACACCACAUUCUCUCUUUUUGCACACAGAUGUGCUACUGUGUAAAAAUAAGCAAACAAACAAAAACGGGAGUUCAGCUUCUUGGAGAAUGUGUCAUGGUCAAGACCAGUGAUUCUGGACGGUGACAAAAGUCCUGGAGGCCUGAGUGCACAGAGGACACACGCACAGAUGCACAUGAACUCAUGGAGAAACACUGGUCUUCUCUGCCAGGGACCAGGCUGGCCAUGCAGGAAGGGAGCAGGAUGUGAAGAUUCAGACUUUAGCUCCAGCUUCACUACCGUCCUGCCGUGCACUUUGGGGG